GGCGGCGUGCCUAAUACAUGCAAGUCGAGCGAAUGGAUUGAGAGCUUGCUCUCAAGAAGUUAGCGGCGGACGGGUGAGUAACACGUGGGUAACCUGCCCAUAAGACUGGGAUAACUCCGGGAAACCGGGGCUAAUACCGGAUAAUAUUUUGAACUGCAUGGUUCGAAAUUGAAAGGCGGCUUCGGCUGUCACUUAUGGAUGGACCCGCGUCGCAUUAGCUAGUUGGUGAGGUAACGGCUCACCAAGGCAACGAUGCGUAGCCGACCUGAGAGGGUGAUCGGCCACACUGGGACUGAGACACGGCCCAGACUCCUACGGGAGGCAGCAGUAGGGAAUCUUCCGCAAUGGACGAAAGUCUGACGGAGCAACGCCGCGUGAGUGA
rnacentral:rRNA from 1 species